UUAUUGGCCUUUGCAUACCGGGCACGAACCCAGACUUGGGCUGGGGCCUAACAGUUUUUGGCACCCCAGAUGGGACUGCUGUAGAUAAGCUUUGCCCGGACUAACUGACGACCGGUUUAUCUGCUUCUUCUUAUCAAAAGUCGAGCGCGCCCCGGGAUUUCUUUUCCCGGUGAGACUUUUGUUUCAGGAGAAGCUGGAUCGCUGAGGCGGCAGUAGCCUAACGGUGCAACGCCAUAGAGUGAAAGUAUCAGUAACAGGCACCUGGGUGAGAGGGUAGAAAGGGCAUAAGGCCUACCGUCAGUACGUCUGCCUGGGAUUAUCUCUGUAAGUAUUCUGUCUGGCCCGAGUCCAAGACCAGUGAUUUUUCCCCUGUGAGGACAAGGACUAAAAACAGAUCCCUGGAUCCCAGCAGGUACGGGACGUGCUGCAGACACAGAACCAGUCUCCUACCCCGGAAAAUCGAUUAUUACCUGGAAGUUACGCUCUUGUGAAAGAUUGGAACGAGGAACCACUUCGAGCCAGAUGGAAGGGCCCAUAUAGAGUACUUUUAACGACCCCAACGGCAGCAAAGCUCGAAGGAAUCAAGACUUGGAUACAUUCCAGUCGCCUAAAGCCGGUGGCUGAACCAGAACAAGAAGAAACUCCUGCAAACUCCGGGACCGGAGGCAGAGAACAGUGGAAGGUGGAGCCAAUAAGGGACUUAAAAUUCCUAUUCAAAAGAAAGGAACUUUGAAUAAUUUGUCAAUCUUUGAUCAAGUUUUACAAGCCUUAUUAUGAAAUUGUUCAAGGUUUUAGUGUGGGGCACCCUAAUUUGUCCACUCCUACUUAUAGGAGGGGAAAAUCUUUUACCACAAGAAUUUGACCCUCAGGAAAAUGUCUGGAUUUAUCUGGCCCGGGAAAUAUUAAAUAGAACAGACUUCUGCUUGGCAGGAGGGAUCAAUGCUCAUCUGGUUUUUACCUCAUACUUAAUUGCAGUACCUACCCCUUUGAAAAUUUUACAGAAUUAUACUAUGCUGAAAGAUGUAAAGAAGGAAAAUACAUAUCAGGAUAUAUAUAAGUGGGGGACUAUUGUAAAAGAGAAAAGCAGAGACAUGUUUUCUGUACGGGUUCAGGCAACAGCUAAUGCUUCUGAAUGUUUCUUAAUAGUGAAUUGUACCAGUAAUUGCUUUAAAUUGAACCAAGGUAGAAAAAUCUUCUGUAAUAAGACCAGUCAAAUUGAAUGGAGCAAUCAUAAUUAAUAAUAAUUAUAAAUGCUCCAGAUGAGGGAAAUGUAAGGUUUGACCUAGAAACUACUAUGCAAAGCCUAAGCAAAAGUGAAUGUUGUGUGUCGAAUGCCCAUCUGCAAUGAUAAGGGGCAGACAGUCUUAGAUAGAGGAAGCUUGAAAACAAAAAACAGAAUCAGAGGUACUGGAGCAAAGAGCUCAUUAAAAUACUAAAAAUCACACCCCGAGGCGGGGAAGAUAUAUGCUAAUGGAACAUAUAUGUACGUUAAUGAGAUACAUAGCUAAAACACAGGUAUAGAGACAUGCUCAGUAAAGAACUCCUUGUGUCACUCCUUUAUAACCAAUUAGCAAACAAGGAUGCUUAUGAAGAUUCAACCUCUGGUAUAUAAGGGUCUCAGUAUUGAAUGUGCGUGUGCUUGUCUUGGGAGAUUAUUCCGCUUGCACCUUUUAUUGCUAGCAAUAAAUCAUUUUUUAUACUUUCA